rfam:Capronia semiimmersa strain CBS 27337 unplaced genomic scaffold supercont1.4, whole genome shotgun sequence.
GACACUAUGGCCGAGCGGUUAAGGCGUGUGACUAGAAUUUGUUCCUCUAGGUUUACCUGAAGAAUUACCACUCUAGUGUAUCACAUCUCUUCGGAGGCACAGGUUCAAAUCCUGUUGGUGUCG